AUGGCCCAGCUUCUGCUGUUCCUCCUGUUCUUCAUGGAUUGCCCUGGUUCCCUCGCCCAGUUCUCGCUGCUUCAGCCACCCGCAAUUUCAGUGUCUCCUGGUGGCACCGUGACGCUCUCCUGCAAUCAUUCUGAUGGUGGCGCAAUGUUAGCUGUUUAUUGGUACCAGCAAAGAGGUGGAGAAAGCCCCAGAUAUCUGCUGGGUGCAUCUGCUGCAGUCUCCCUCAAGCUUCGGAGUUCUGGAGUCCCUGACCGUUUCAACGGCUCCAUGGAUUCCUCCUAUACAGCUGGCUCCUUAACCAUCACCAAUGUUCAAGCAGAAGACGAGGCUGA